rnacentral:rRNA from 1 species
AUUGAACGCUGGCGGCAGGCUUAACACAUGCAAGUCGAGCGGGGGAGGUUGCUUCGGUAACUGACCUAGCGGCGGACGGGUGAGUAAUGCUUAGGAAUCUGCCUAUUAGUGGGGGACAACAUCUCGAAAGGGAUGCUAAUACCGCAUACGUCCUACGGGAGAAAGCAGGGGACCUUCGGGCCUUGCGCUAAUAGAUGAGCCUAAGUCGGAUUAGCUAGUUGGUGGGGUAAAGGCCUACCAAGGCGACGAUCUGUAGCGGGUCUGAGAGGAUGAUCCGCCACACUGGGACUGAGACACGGCCCAGACUCCUACGGGAGGCAGCAGUGGGGAAUAUUGGACAAUGGGGGGAACCCUGAUCCAGCCAUGCCGCGUGUGUGAAGAAGGCCUUUUGGUUGUAAAGCACUUUAAGCGAGGAGGAGGCUACUGGUAUUAAUACUACCGGAUAGUGGACGUUACUCGCAGAAUAAGCACCGGCUAACUCUGUGCCAGCCGCCGCUGUAAUAC